GUGGUGGCACAAAAUCGGAAGCCCCGACUGUUUACUAAAAACACAGCUAUCUGCAACGAUGUAAAUCAUAGUAUAGGUAGUGAGGUUUGCCCGAUGCCAUUAAUAUAAGAGAAGUGAUGGGNAACUGUUAAUUAUCGAAAAUCUGGUUAAUAGCGGUCUUAACUAUGAGGAUCCUAAGGUAGCAAAAUAAAUUGGCCAUUAAAUGUGGUCCGGUAUCAAUAAUUUAACGAUGGCUUCACUGUCUCUACAACUUGCUCAGUGAAAUUGAAUUACCCGUGCAGAUGC
rnacentral:rRNA from 1 species